rnacentral:rRNA from 1 species
AUUGAACGCUGGCGGCAGGCCUAACACAUGCAAGUCGAGCGAGCGGCGGAGGGGUGUGUAAUGUCUGGGAAACUGCCAGAGGGAGGGGGAUAACUACUGGAAACUGUAGCUAAUCCCGUAUACCAUUAGAUGCGCCGAUAUGGGAUUAGCUUGUAGGUGGGGUAAUGGCUCACCUAGGCGACGAUCCCUCGCUGGUCUGAGAGGAUGACCAGCCACACUGGAACUGAGACACGGUCCAGACUCCUACGGGAGGCAGCAGUGGGGAAUAUUGCACAAUGGGCGCAAGCCUGAUGCAGCCAUGCCGCGUGUGUGAAGAAGGCCUUCGGGUUGUAAAGCACUUUCAGCGAGGAGGCGGUACUCGCAGAAGAAGCACCGGCUAACUCCGUGCCAGCAGCCGCGGUAAUAC